CAGUAGCCGCGGGAAUACGGAGGAUCCAAGCGUUAUCCGGAAUCAUUGGGUUUAAAGGGUCCGUAGGCGGUCUUGUAAGUCAGUGGUGAAAGCCCAUCGCUCAACGGUGGAACGGCCAUUGAUACUGCAGGACUUGAAUUAUUGGGAAGUAACUAGAAUAUGUAGUGUAGCGGUGAAAUGCUUAGAGAUUACAUGGAAUACCAAUUGCGAAGGCAGGUUACUACCAAUUGAUUGACGCUGAUGGACGAAAGCGUGGGUAGCGAACAGGAUUAGAUACCCCCGUAGUCCCUGUCUCUUAUAU
rnacentral:rRNA from 1 species